CACGUAGGGCGCGAGCGUUGUCCGGAAUUAUUGGGCGUAAAGAGCUCGUAGGCGGCCUGCUGCGUCCGCUGUGAAAGCCCGGGGCUUAACCCCGGGUCGGCAGUGGAUACGGGCAGGCUAGAGGUAGGUAGGGGAGAAUGGAAUUCCCGGUGUAGCGGUGAAAUGCGCAGAUAUCGGGAGGAACACCGGUGGCGAAGGCGGUUCUCUGGGCAUUACCUGACGCUGAGGAGCGAAAGCGUGGGGAGCGAACAGG
rnacentral:rRNA from 1 species